rfam:Trichobilharzia regenti genome assembly, scaffold: TRE_scaffold0072359
GUACCGCAGAAGAGUCCCAAACCAGGACGAAACAGCUGUCCAGUAC